rnacentral:rRNA from 1 species
CAAUAGCGUAUAUUUAAGUUGCUGCAGUUAAAAAGCUCGUAGUUGGAUUUCGGGUGGGAAUGGCCGGUCCGCCGUUUCGGUGUGCACUUGCUACGCCCACCUUGCUGCCGGGGACGUGCUCUUGAGUUCACGCUCGGGACACGGAGUCGGCGAGGUUACUUUGAGUAAAUUAGAGUGUUCAAAGCAGGCCUACGCUCUGAAUACAUUAGCAUGGAAUAACACGAUAGGACUCUGGCCUAUCUUGUUGGUCUGUAGGACCGGAGUAAUGAUUAAGAGGGACAGUCGGGGGCAUUCGUAUUGCAUUGUCAGAGGUGAAAUUCUUGGAUUUAUGAAAGACGAACUACUGCGAAAGCAUUUGCCAAGGAUGUUUUCAUUAA